GUGGCGCACGGGUGAGUAACACGUAGGUAAUGUACCUUUGGGUGGGGAAUAACUUAGGGAAACUUAAGCUAAUACCGCAUAAUGCGGCGGCUCCUUCGGGAGACAGUUGUUAAAGAUUUAUCGCCUAAAGAGCAGCCUGCGGCAGAUUAGCUAGUUGGUAAGGUAACGGCUUACCAAGGCUACGAUCUGUAUCCGACCUGAGAGGGUGGUCGGACACACUGACACUGAAUAACGGGUCAGACUCCUACGGGAGGCAGCAGUCGGGAAUUUUGGGCAAUGGGCGAAAGCCUGACCCAGCAACGCCGCGUGAAGGAUGAAGUCUUUCGGGAUGUAAACUUCGUAAGAAUAGGAAGAAUAAAUGACGGUACUAUUUGUAAGGUCCGGCUAACUACGUGCCAGCAGCCGCGGUAAUACGUAGGGACCAAGCGUUGUUCGGAUUUACUGGGCGUAAAGGGCGCGUAUGCGGCGUGACAAGUCAAUUGUGAAAUCUCCGGGCUUAACUCGGAACGGUCAAUUGAUACUGUUGUGCUAGAGUACAGAAAGGGGCAAUCGGAGUUCUUGGUGUAGCGGUGAAAUGCGUAGAUAUC
rnacentral:rRNA from 1 species